GGAAAAUGCUCAGCUUACGGGCAAGAAGGAGCAGAUAACAAAAAGUUCCUCCCAUAGGUUAUAUAAAUCAGAGAACUAAACAUCAUUACUUCCUUUUAAAUUUUCUUAUUUUUAAUCGAGGUAAAAUACACCUAAUAUUUGCCAUCUAACCCUUGCAAGUGUACAUUUUAGUAGUGUAAGAUACAUUCACAUUGUUGUACAAUCAUUACUUCUUGAAUAUCUUUUCUCAAAUCUGUCUUAAAGUCAGGAGAUAUGAGUGGAGGAUUCAAGGAUUCGAACCACAAAGCCUCGACAUCUAGUGAAUGUAAUCUGGAAGGGAGGAGAAAGACACUAAAAGAGAACUGUGAGGCUUUGAGAUCUAUUAAAGUGGAAAAGGAAGCUGAAUUAAAAAUGUUGAAGAUGAACAUAGGCGUGACUGAUGAACUCUUUGGACAAAGCAAGAUGGUCAUAGACAAGAAGCUGAGAAUGAAAGAACGUGAGAGGGUGGAAAAGGAGAAGCAGCUCUCUCAUCAGCAGAAAAGAAGGUGAAAUUGGCUGCAGAAGAAAUGCAGCGCUGCAAGCAACAAACUGAUCAAAUGCGGCAACAGGUGCAGCAAGUAGAGUCCACCUUCAGACACCAGAUCGCUGUGCAUGAGAAGAAUGCUCAAGAUAGUUGGAUCAAGGCUCGGAUUUUGGAGAGGGAGAUAGUGGAGCAGAGCAGGGAAGCCGCUCACUUGAAACACAGAUUGGAGAUAAUGUCCCAAAAGAGGCUUCCUGAGGGAUACAGGCCGUACGAACCAAUGUUGCAAAGACCUGGGAUGCAGAACCCUGCACAGAGAGGACGAUGAUUUUGAAAGAGGAGCCUGAGCCGUGAUAAAAGGCUAUGGCAAUUGAUUAUGGUUUUCCCUGCCCAAUCCUGCCUCCUCCACUUUUAUCUUUCCUAUUGUCUCCCCUAAUACACCCUUUAUGGUUCUAACUCAGUGUCAGCGUCUGCUUUUUGGAGGACCAACCGACUCACUCCAGGGAGUGUACACAGUGUGAGUCUUGUACGCGCAGUUCAAAAACAGGCAGAAACCAUGGGAAUGAGGCAGAAGCAAGGUUAUUUUGGGAGGGGUACUGUUGACUGCGAGGGGCCUGAGAAGUCC
rnacentral:lncRNA from 1 species